CCCCCCCCCCCCUCUCUUGUUCAUUUGGUUCCACAUAUUUUGUGCGCAACCGGAGCCUGGUCUUGAUCUCCUGAUUGGGCGGCUGUAAUUCAAACCUUGACUCGGUAGUUGCGUACAACCCCCCCCCCCCAGCCUCUACACGCACAGGUCUGAGAUCAGCUGUGUGGCUGUGUGUGUUUAUCUUCACAGAGGUUCACAUAAGGAUCUGGGCUCAGCGUGAUGUGCAGAGGUGUCACGUGCUGAAGAACACGUGUUCUGAGAGCGCUGCGGUAUUUACCUGCUUCUAUGAUGAAUGAUGUCGUUGGAAGGCAAGCUGAGCUCCCUUGUAGGGAAUCCCAUAAUUCUGUUCAGCGCAUCUUCAUUCGCUAGUUACAGCCAGCCCUGCGUUCAGACCAGGACGUAACAAGCCGCCGGUGUCGCUUGUAGACGCGUCUCGUCCAUCCAGUGUCUUUUCUUUCUCUCUUUCUUUCUUUCUUUGAGAGAGAGACGAAGUCGGAAUGUAUUACUAGAGUAAACCUAGCAACUCUUUCACUUCCCUGACUCCUGGCUCUUGGCUCCCACAGUCAGGUCAGACUUCUUUCCUGCCUAAAGUCGGAGCUUGAUGUCUGAGCUGGCGCACGCCUUGUACAUCGUUCCUUUCAGUUCCAACCCCUGAAAAUUACCGUUACGCGAUUGCCACGGAGUCCGUACAGGAUUUCAGAGUUUUUUUUCUUGCUUGAUUUUGCUGCUACUUUUUUCAAAAAUUGCGAUGAUUUCUGUGUUAUUUAUUUAUUUAUUUAUUUUGUUGCUAAAAACUACUAGAAUCGGCGAAAUCGCACGCAAUAGUUUCGCACGCUCUUUCGCGGUGAUGUUUGUUGGUAAACGAGACUUUUUUUAUUUUAUUUUUAUUUUUUAGCUGUACUCGUUUUCGACAGACGUGAAUCGAAGAGGGCCGAACGCGUCUCGGCCCAAAUCUGCAAUCCUGUAAUAUUGAAAAAUCAUAAGCUCCGCCGAAUAUAUCGCAAAGUCGCGAUUUUCUGCAUGGACUGGCCGUGGUGGUGUAUCUAACUUUCUUUUUUUCUACCUGACCUCUCAUAUUUAAUGACGGGAUAAAAUGUAACUCAUAGGUUUGUUCGGAGUCCGUCCGCCAUUUUGUUUCCAGCUGAGAGGCUUCAGAAAACAUGGCGUCAUUCCCAGUGUGGGAACAUAGCGAGCAUCGAUGCUUCCUGGAUUUCGCGGUGCAUUGUUGGUUUUUUUUUUUUUUUUUAUUAGGACGUGAACGUUCCAGCGCACUGGAUGGAUUUCGCCAUUGAGGCAGCCCUCAAAAUGGCCGACUCGCCUAUAUCAGCGUCCUGACUACUGAACUAGUAGCUGACUGAGACACGCCGUUUCAUCGGUGGUUUAAACUCACCAGUACUUGAUUUUGUUUGGUUUUAAGGAAAGAGAGACUGUAGAAAAGAUGGAGGGAACGCUUCCUGGAGUGUUUUUAUUUGUAUAUAGAGAGAGAGAGAGAAUUUUUUUCCUACAGAAUCUGUACCAGAAGCUAGUUUUAAGGAUGAAAUCUGCUACAUGUCAGGAUUCAUCACUUCGUUGUUAUAAAAUUAAAUAGAAAUGGAGUGAAUUUUUUUUUUUCUUAUUCGGAAAGCCGUAGGAACCCUAACGCCGCUUCCAUAUAACGCCGCUUUCACACGUGUCCGGAUCAGAACGGCUUUGUCUCUGUGGGAGGGGCUUGCUCAUUUCCCCUUGUCAAUCACAGAGACACUAGCCAAUCUGAACUCCUCCUCUGAGCUCAUGUAUGCGGAAGAGGGCGGAUAGCGCGUUCAUCCGAGCGUGCGACGCUACCACGUGACCCAGCAGUCCGGAGAAAGCGCGGUUGUCGGAUUCGUACCCGCGAAACCCUUUCUUACAUCGGUUCCGUGGAAAAAGGUAAACCCUCGCCAUUGGAAUGCAAGAGGUUUCAAAAGGUAUACGUUCACGCCACGGCGUUUAAAGUAGACAAAAAUGCCCGGUCUCGUUUUAUGAUGACUCAUCGGACGCCCGCUGCAGUUGGACGAAUCGAUGAGGAGAUGGUUAUAUAAAUAUUUUUUUAUGCGGCCUUUGGGCAUUUACAGGUUUCCAAAAGAAAGCGUCUUUAGUUCGAGUGUUCCGAUCCUGGACGUUUUGAUUUGUCUGCGAUCGCUUUGUCCGUUCCCUCAAUCCUCAAGAUGUCCUACGCGGGAAGCGCGUCUCCGUACGCUUCGAACAACUCUGGGCAAGACGCAGAGACACGGCUCGGGUUCUCUCGCACAGACGGAAACAUCUGGAAGCACUCAGACGGUGGGUAGAGAGAGAGAGGAGAGAGAGAGGUGUAAACGUGUCUAGAAAGUAAAGCAGGAUCAGAUGUGCUGCAGCGCUCGCAUUCGUGCCAAAGAGACGAAAGGUCGCGAGUUUGAUCAUGUUUGCUCAACAAUUGUUGCCGCUCUCCGAGGUCUCGUUCUCACGAUCUUACUUUUUUUUUUUUUCUCUCCCCCCCCCCCCCCCCCUGUAUUUGUCUUCCUCGACGAUCCAAGAGACUUGUUUUAUUAGAAACAUCUCCGGGUUUCUGGGUCAAGGUUUGAAAUUCCGUGUCGUGGCUUCAGUACGUUACGUUAGAGUUAUCACGUUAUCGCCUCACGCCGAUCCACUUUCACGCCACAGAGCUGGCGGAUCCUGGAGUCUGAUUGGUCAGAACGGCAAGUUUUAUAUUCACGGUACGCGUUGUCGUUUCUAUGGUAACGGUGAGUCCAGGGCGACUCGUGCGACGGACGACGUUCUGUAAGGAACCGUUUACAGAAGGAGUCUCCGGCGUUAAAGCUGCAGCUGAGCGGUAUCCGAGACGGGAAAGCCUUUGAUCUUUGCGGGUCCUCGGUAACGAGUGAGGACAAGGAAACUCUGGGGGGGGUGGAACGACUGUUUGUUUAUACCUGCUGUGACGUUUUGCGGGCGUUCUGUAAUAUUUCCUGCGACCGUCGUUCUUUAAUAAAGCUAGUAAUGAUUGAGGGUUUGUGAGGUGAUACGACACUGUAAAACACUUCAGGACGCGCUGUUGUAGGAAAAUAAUCAUCGAUGGCGUGGGAACAGUGACUCUUCGCUUCAUCACACCUUGCUACGGUUAAUUCUUUUCCUUUAACACCGUGCCAGUGGUUUUUUUGUUUUUGUUUUGUUUAUUCCUUAUUUGUAGGGCUGCAACAAUUAAUCAAUAAUUAAAAUAAUUGACAGCGAAUGUCAUUAUGGAUUAGUCGGGACUGUGACGUCAUCGUGGAUAAACCCCGCCCCCGUCAGUGACGACACUGUGGACAAACCCCGCCCCCGUCAGGGACAUCACC
ensembl:lncRNA